GACGAACGCUGGCGGCGCGCUUAACACAUGCGAGUCGAACGGAAAGGCCUGCUUUCCCUUGUGGAUUGCGGGUACUCGAGUGGCGAACGGGUGAGUAACACGUGAGUGAUCUGCCCCCAACUUGGGUAUAAGCCUGGGAAACUGGGUCUAAUUCCCGAUAGGACUGCAGGGUGGUGCCUGUGGUGGAAAACGAUUUUCUAGUGGUUGGGGAUGAGCUCGCGGCCUAUCAGCUUGUUGGUGGGGUAAUGGCCUACCAAGGCGGCGACGGGUAGCCGGCCUGGGAGGGUGGACGGCCACAUGGGGACGGAGAUACGGCCCAGACUCCUACGGGAGGCAGCAGUGGGGAAUAGUGCACGAUGGGCGGAAGCCUGAUGCAGCGACGCCGCGUGGGGGAUGACGGCCUUCGGGUUGUAAACUCCUUUCGACCGCGAGGAAGCCACCUGGUUGGAAGGGUGGUGACGGUAGUGGUAUAAGAAGCACCGGCUAACUACGUG
rnacentral:rRNA from 1 species